rnacentral:rRNA from 1 species
CUAGAGAUUUUUUUAAACGGCUGCAAUUAGUAGUUGUGCUAAGGUAGCGUAAUCAUUUGCCCCUUAAUUAGGGGAAGGUAUGAAUGGUUUGACGUGGGAAAAGCUGUCUCUUUUAUAUAAAAGGAAGUUUAUUUUUGAGUGAAAAAGCUUAGAUGUUUAUAAAAGACGAGAAGACCCUAUCGAACUUGAAUUGUGUGUUAUAGAUUUAUUAUACAGAAAGUUUAGUUGGGGAAACUUAAAGUUAAGAAAAACGCUUUUUUGUUGUAAAAUGAUCCUGUAUUAUAGAAAAAUGAAAAAGUUACCGUAGGGAUAACAGCGCUUUCUUCUCUGAGAGGACUAAUCAAAGAGUUGGUUGCGACCUCG